GACGAACGCUGGCGGCGUGCCUAACACAUGCAAGUCGAACGCGAAAGGGGCUUCGGUCCUGAGUAGAGUGGCGAACGGGUGAGUAACACGUGGGUGAUCUACCUUCGAGUGGGGGAUAACGUUCCGAAAGGAACGCUAAUACCGCAUGACGUUCUGGGUUUAAAGACCUGGAAACCAAAGCUGGGGACCGCAAGGCCUGGCGCUUGGAGAGGAGCCCGCGUCCGAUUAGCUAGUUGGCGGGGUAAUGGCCCCACCAAGGCGACGAUCGGUAGCCGGCCUGAGAGGGCGGACGGCCACACUGGAACUGAGACACGGUCCAGACUCCUACGGGAGGCAGCAGGUGGGGAAUUGUUCACAAUGGGCGCAAGCCUGAUGACGCAACGCCGCGUGGGGAUGAAGGUCUUCGGAUCGUAAACCCCUGUCGAAUGGGACGAAAGACCCGGGACGCUAAUCAUCCUGGGAGUGACGGUACCG
rnacentral:rRNA from 1 species